rnacentral:rRNA from 1 species
GAUUGACGCUAGCGGCAGGCAUAAUACAUGCAAGUUGAACGGGAUAAGUUGUAGCAAUACGGCUUUGAGAGUAGCGCACGGGUGCGUAACACGUAUGCAAUUUGCCCCUAUCUGUGGAAUAGCCCCUCGAAAGAGGGAUUAAUACCACAUAACAUAAUGUAUAGGCAUCUAUAUAUUAUCAAAGCUCCGGCGGAUAGGGAUGAGCAUGCGGCUGAUUAGCUAGUUGGUGAGGUAAUGGCUCACCAAGGCUACGAUCAGUAGGGGGUCUGAGAGGAUGUCCCCCCACACUGGUACUGAGACACGGACCAGACUCCUACGGGAGGCAGCAGUAGGGAAUAUUGGUCAAUGGGCGCAAGCCUGAACCAGCCAUGCCGCGUGCAGGAUGAAGGCCCUAUGGGUCGUAAACUGCUUUUGUACGGGAAGAAACCCCACUACGUGUAGUGGGCUGACGGUACCGUGAGAAUAAGGAUCGGCUAACUUCGUGCCAGCAGCCGCCGUAAAAC